rnacentral:lncRNA from 1 species
CUCGUCAGUUACGAAGCUGGACUGAAACUGCCUAGUCAUUCAAUGCUGGAAGCUUCUGCGCGCGCCGCGCGCCCAUGCGCGGUGCGGCAUCUUGGCUCACUGCCAUGCGCGGUGCGGCCUCUUGGCUCAAGCUUCUGCGCGCGCCCGCGCGCGGUGCGGCAUAUUGGCUCACUGCCAUGCGCGGUGCGGCGUCUUGGCUCAAGUCCGUCCAUGCGCGCUCAUGCGCGGUGCGGCGUGCGCCACGUCACCUGUGAGUCUAUACGUGCACGCCGCAUUGGCUCACUCUGGUGCGCCGCGCACGGCACAGCAGGACCCAUGCACCAUGCGCCCAACCGCGCGCCUCGUGUACCCGCGCGCGCAUGCGCAUGACUGCCACGUCAUGCGCCGCAUCACCUACCACUUGGUCCUUGCAACCCUUGUGCUUCACCACGCGCGCGCGGUCAAAAAUACAAAGGCGGCUCUCAAGCGGCUCGCGGCGAAGUGCAAAGUGCGCCAUCAAAGCGCCACAUUGCGCCUCAUCGCCCACGCCACGCGCGCGCGAGCGUGUGCGGGUUAGGGUGCUCCGCACCCUUCGCGAGGACACUAG